CAUGCAAGUCGAGGGGCAGCAUGGUCUUAGCUUGCUAAGGCCGAUGGCGACCGGCGCACGGGUGAGUAACACGUAUCCAACCUGCCGUCUACUCUUGGACAGCCUUCUGAAAGGAAGAUUAAUACAAGAUGGCAUCAUGAGUCCGCAUGUUCACAUGAUUAAAGGUAUUCCGGUAGACGAUGGGGAUGCGUUCCAUUAGAUAGUAGGCGGGGUAACGGCCCACCUAGUCUUCGAUGGAUAGGAGUUCUGAGAGGAAGGUCCCCCACAUUGGAACUGAGACACGGUCCAAACUCCUACGGGAGGCAGCAGUGAGGAAUAUUGGUCAAUGGGCGAGAGCCUGAACCAGCCAAGUAGCGUGAAGGAUGACUGCCCUAUGGGUUGUAAACUUCUUUUAUAAAGGAAUAAAGUCGGGUAUGGAUACCCGUUUGCAUGUACUUUAUGAAUAAGGAUCGGCUAACUC
rnacentral:rRNA from 1 species